GCUCAACCGGGGAGGGUCAUUGGAAACUGGGAAACUUGAGUGCAGAAGAGGAGAGUGGAAUUCCGCGUGUAGCGGUGAAAUGCGUAGAGAUGUGGAGGAACACCAGUGGCGAAGGCGACUCUCUGGUCUGUAACUGACGCUGAGGAGCGAAAGCGUGGGGAGCGAACAGGAUUAGAUACCCUGGUAGUCCACGCCGUAAACGAUGAGUGCUAAGUGUUAGGGGGUUUCCGCCCCUUAGUGCUGCAGCUAACGCAUUAAGCACUCCGCCUGGGGAGUACGGUCGCAAGACUGAAACUCAAAGGAAUUGACGGGGGCCCGCACAAGCGGUGGAGCAUGUGGUUUAAUUCGAAGCAACGCGAAGAACCUUAUCAGGUCUUGACAUCCUCUGACAACCCUAGAGAUAGGGCUUUCCCUUCGGGGACAGAGUGACAGGUGGUGCAUGGUUGUCGUCAGCUCGUGUCGUGAGAUGUUGGGUUAAGUCCCGCAACGAGCGCAACCCUUGAUCUUAGUUGCCAGCAUUCAGUUGGGCACUCUAAGGUGACUGCCGGUGACAAACCGGAGGAAGGUGGGGAUGACGUCAAAUCAUCAUGCCCCUUAUGACCUGGGCUACACACGUGCUACAAUGGACAGAACAAAG
rnacentral:rRNA from 1 species